GAUGAAGAACGCAGCGAACUGCGAUAAGUAAUGUGAAUUGCAGAAUUCAGUGAAUCAUCGAGUCUUUGAACGCACAUUGCGCCCCCUGGCAUUCCGGGGGGCAUGCCUGUCCGAGCGUCAUUGCUGCCCUUCAAGCCCGGCUUGUGUGUUGGGUCGUCGUCCCCCCCGGGGGACGGGCCCGAAAGGCAGCGGCGGCACCGCGUCCGGUCCUCGAGCGUAUGGGGCUUUGUCACCCGCUCGAUUAGGGCCGGCCGGGCGCCAGCCGGCGUCUCCAACCUUCUAUUUUACCAGGUUGACCUCGGAUCAGGUAGGGAUACCCGCUGAACUUAAGCAUAUCAAUAAGCGGAGGGA
rnacentral:misc_RNA from 1 species